UCAGAUGGUCUGCAACCCUGUAAGCAGGAUAAGCGGUUGACGAUGGAUGGAUGGAUGGUUCAGAUGGUGUCAAGCAUGUGUGGCGGCAACCAGGUGAGGAGUACAAAGACAUACAGUGUCUUGCAUACAGUCAGGCAUGGUGGUGGGAGUGUCAUGGUCAGGGGCUGCAUGAAUGCUGUAGCACUGGGGAGCUACAGUUCAUUGAGAGAACCAUGAAUGCCAACAUGUACUGUGACAUACUGAAGCAGAGCAUGAUCCCCUCCCUUUGGAGACUGUGCAGCAGGGCAGUAUUCCAACAUGAUAACGACCCCAAAUACACCUCCAAGAUGACUACGGACACCCCCUCCCUUCUGGGCUCCUUCCAAAACCACGCCCCCAAAACACGUGAACGCGCGUUGCCGACACCGCAGGAGGACGAGGACAGUGACGAGCGGAGAGCAGCAGCUCACAUCAGGGAGCUUCCAUGGUGACAGCAUUAUUGUCUCUGAGGACUGCACCCCAGAGCCAAGCACAAACCAGGACAGGCCCGGGGUCGAGGCGAAGCAGAGGAGGGAGGGCUGCCGGGGUCCGAGGAAGAAGAGGCAGGACGAGGUGCAAGCCAAGGAGCACAUCUUCUAGGACCUGCGACAACAGCAUAUGAACAGGCCAGAAUCUGAGGACUGGACAACAUCCAGACUACAGUGUUUCCAU